AACAGUCACAUGAUUGCUUUUGAGGCCAACUGAAAGCUCAUGAGUUCAAAUUUGAAUGCUGUCCAAAAACAAGAAAAGAAGAUGAACAUGCUCUUCACAUAUACCAUUGUCACAAUUCUAACAGUUGCAGAAUCCAAAUCUGUACCAGAUGAUGGGUCAAAGAUGAAGGAAUGGAGAACAAACAUUUCAAAAACUAAAGAGAGGAAGAGAAGGGCUGUGGGAUCUGAGUGGAAAAUGUCUCGCUCUGAAGCAAAGGAAAUGUUUCUGGAGUACUACAAAUGCCUGAAAGAGAAGCUGAACAUGCUCAAGUAUCAAAAACAGAGCAUCACUCCAAUCAUCUCACAUAUUGGGCAGACAGUCAAGUUGAAAUGUCUCAUUUGUGUGAGACCUGAUCAAAUGGACUCCCAGAUGAUCUCCUGGCAGUUCCUAAAGAGAGCGGACGCCACCAUGAGUGUGCUAGACGCUGGCAAGCACCUGCGCAUCACAAAGCACUGGACACUGGUCAUUAAGGAGUUGGACAUGGCUGAUGUGGGUCAGUACUUCUGUGUUGAGGGUGGGGAAUACAUGGCCGUCUACCAGCUGGAUGUUCUCACAGCCGAGACCAGGAAAGUGGUGCUGGAGAAAGACAAAGGAAAUCUACUGCCACCAGUUAAGUUCCUGUACAAGUUGAACCUGAAACUGCUGACCAGCUGGACAGAGUGGAGCCAGUGCAACCACUGUGGAAAGCCUGGACAUAGAAGGAAGAUUGGGCUUUGCAUGGUCAAGAAAAUAUCGACGAAUCAAGCAACAAAGCCUGUUGACUUCCCACUGUUGGCACUAUACAAAGAUGGCGUCCCAUGUCGCUCGACAGCUCUUCCCAAAGCAAUGUCACGUCUACCCAGCAUUGCUAAGAGACACAGUGAAGUCCUGAUGGGUACGUGUGAAGUGCCCUGCCCUACCGAGCCACCUCCCCUCAACAUCACAGAUUCCUCAGGGAAAGUUGUGGAGGUCAUUGAACCAGGGUUCUACUCAAUCAAAACUCGCCCCAAACUGCCUCCUAUGGUUAAAAGAAAAGUCCAGUACCACGAAGCUGGGAUCCACCUGGUGCUCAAAUGUCCCAGUGAUGAAGGGGAUGACGGUUCAAUUGUGAGGUGGCAGCGAAGUAAGCGGCAGAUUGAUCCCCUGAGCAUCAAGAAGCAGACACGAGGCAGGGUGUACGUGGACCAGCAGAACCAGCUGCACAUCAAGAGGCUCUUCAUCUCAGACACAGCGCCGUACAACUGUUGGAUCCUGAAACGACAUGUAGCCACGAUAAAGGUCAUCGUGAUCAAGAAGUUUGAUGCCAACAUCAAGGACUACAUAUCUUAUGGUGGCUUCGUCCUCACUGGUAUUGCUGUUCUACUAGUGUGUCUGUGUGUGUGCUGUCGACGUGGACAGAAGACAGCCAGGUGAACAGACAGUUUACAGACAAGUCAUCAAAUUUCACAGAUGUCUAUCAUAAUGUUUGACUUAUGAAGACAGACAGCUCACACACAAUAGACAUCACCAUGAAAACAGAAAAAGACCUGUGAUCAAACAGUUCACAGACAACGGGCAUCAGUGGAAGAUGAACACAUGGCAACUGAGUCAGGAGAACGACUGCUUUGAAAGGUCAGCAACGACCUUGAGUGUACAGGACCCAUCAGGUGUGAGCAUGAAAUCCAGGACAGGUGCCAGAAGGCUGUCAAUGGUUCUCAACAAACUGGUGAUCAUCAGGAGUGAGCAUGAGCUCGAGGACAGGUACCAGAAGGCCGUCAAUGGUUCUCAAACAAACUGGUGAUCAUCAGGUGUGUACCUGGCACAAGGUGCACCCAGUAUAUGGAAAUAAUCAUCAACCAAAACAGACAAGUGAUAUGAUGCAAUUAAUUGUUCUUUGAAGAGAAAACAAUGUUCUCAGAAAAUAAAGAGACAUGUCAUCAU
rnacentral:misc_RNA from 1 species